AGAGCUGUAGAAACUAUCAACUGUGUGCCUGAGCUUUAUUUCUUAAUUAGAAGUUUAAUUAUAUGACACAAUAAUUUUUACUGAUUAUUGACUGAUAUACGUCAGUCUAAAUUAAAUUAAAUCUGAUUGCAUAUUUUGAACAUUUUGAAAAACAUAACUUUAAUAUAAACAAUUUUUGAAUGAGAUUGAUUUUGUAUCUAUAUUUAACAAUUAUUUUGUUUUACUACAAAUGAAUAGAUUAUUUGUGUGUAAUCAUAACUUGUUCCAGGACAUUCCAAAAUGUUUGCUCUGAUAUUUACAUAAAAAGCAUGACCCAGUUUACCUGAGAAUAUUUGGUGCAGUUUUAAGCAGCACAUGUGGUAUAAGAGCAGAACAUGUGAUCAUCAUUAUGCCUGUGAUUUAUUUAUUUUUUUCUUCUCAGCCCGAGUCAAUGUAUCUGAAGGAAAGCUUUAAAACUCCUUCUGCACCGCCUGAGUAUUCGGUUACUGAUGGAUACUGGAAGGGGGAAAACAAUACGCUGAGAAGACCUGCAGGGUACAACUUCCAGGAAAUGGGCAGUGGUGGAGGAGUGAUGAGCAUGGUGAGUGACAGCAUCCGUCAGACGGAGACACGUGAGGCACGGCAGACUGGGAGGGGAAGAGUUGUAAAAAAAAAAUAUGACAUUUUGUUUUUUUGCCCAAGUUGUUCCUUGACAUGAGUUCCUGCUUCAGAGCAGUCUGAACUGUGCUAACAUACACAGUAGAGCAGGCUUCACGUCUGAGACUGCAUAAUCUGGAAUUCGACAGAAAGUUUUGGCUUAAACUAAUAGACUAGACUGUACUAUUUCUGUUGCUAAUCAAAUGUAAAUGCAUGGUAGAUUUACAUGCUUACAUUAUAUCUUUCAAUAUACACCUAUCUAAACUAGUGCAGCCUGACAUCAGAACCCCGAAGACUAAUUCACAGCCUGGUCCCUUUGAGAUUUUCCUUUGGAAUUCUCUAAUGGGGUUUUUCAAUUUUUGACGUUUUGUUCUACAACAUACUGCACACACUCACAACCCAAAGGCCUUAUUUAGUUACUUAUUGAAAAAUAUAAGAAACCUGGAGUACAUAUGAGAGAGAGAGAGAAAGGGAGAGAGAGAGAUCUUUUAUAAUGCUAAUUUUCACAUUUAAUUUAUACUGAUAUAAAUAUAUACAAACAUAAACAUACUCAACAAAAAUGCAGUUAUUUUUAAUGUCAAUUUAUGAAUUAAAAAUUAAGAAAAAAGUAAAUGUACAUAUGUAUAAUAAAUAAUGUAUUUUAGUGUAUUUAAAAUAUAUUUACAGUACAUACAGUAUAUAAACUUUAUUUUGACAGAGUGCACUUUUUAAAUGUGUACUUAAGUGUGUUAAGUAACAUGGUCAUGCAAGUGCCUCUCUCACUUAAG
rnacentral:lncRNA from 1 species